GAUGAACGCUGGCGGCGUGCCUAAUACAUGCAAGUCGAGCGAACGGACGAGAAGCUUGCUUCUCUGAUGUUAGCGGCGGACGGGUGAGUAACACGUGGAUAACCUACCUAUAAGACUGGGAUAACUUCGGGAAACCGGAGCUAAUACCGGAUGAUAUUUUGAACCGCAUGGUUCAAAAGUGAAAGACGGUCUUGCUGUCACUUAUAGAUGGAUCCGCGCUGCAUUAGCUAGUUGGUAAGGUAACGGCUUACCAAGGCAACGAUGCAUAGCCGACCUGAGAGGGUGAUCGGCCACACUGGAACUGAGGCACGGUCCAGACCCCUACGGGAGGCAGCAGUAGGGAAUCUUCCGCAAUGGGCGAAAGCCUGACGGAGCAACGCCGCGUGAGUGAUGAAGGUCUUCGGAUCGUAAAACUCUGUUAUUAGGGAAGAACAUAUGUGUAAGUAACUGUGCACAUCUUGACGGUACCUAAUCAGAAAGCCACGGCUAACUACGUG
rnacentral:rRNA from 1 species